UGAUUAGAGUUUGAUCAUGGCUCAGGACGAACGCUGGCGGCGUGCUUAACACAUGCAAGUCGAGCGGUAAGGCCUUUCGGGGUACACGAGCGGCGAACGGGUGAGUAACACGUGGGUGAUCUGCCCUGCACUUCGGGAUAGGCCUGGGAAACUGGGUCUAAUACCGGAUAUGACCUCCUAUCGCAUGGUGGGNGGUGGAAAGAUUUAUCGGUGCAGGAUGGGCCCGCGGCCUAUCAGCUUGUUGGUGGGGUAAUGGCCUACCAAGGCGACGACGGGUAGCCGACCUGAGAGGGUGACCGGCCACACUGGGACUGAGACACGGCCCAGACUCCUACGGGAGGCAGCAGUGGGGAAUAUUGCACAAUGGGCGAAAGCCUGAUGCAGCGACGCCGCGUGAGGGAUGACGGCCUUCGGGUUGUAAACCUCUUUCAGCAGGGACGAAGCGCAAGUGACGGUACCUGCANAAGAAGCACCGGCUAACUACGUGCCAGCAGCCGCGGUAAUACGUAGGGUGCAAGCGUUGUCCGGAAUUACUGGGCGUAAAGAGUUCGUANGCGGUUUGUCGCGUCGUUUGUGAAAACCAGCANCUCAACUGCUGGCUUGCAGGCGAUACGGGCAGACUUGAGUACUGCAGGGGAGACUGGAAUUCCUGGUGUAGCGGUGANAUGCGCANAUAUUANGAGGAACACCGGUGGCGAANGCGGGUCUCUGGGCAGUAACUGACGCUGANGAACGAAAGCGUGGGUAGCGAAC
rnacentral:rRNA from 1 species